AUUGAACGCUGGCGGAAUGCUUUACACAUGCAAGUCGAACGGCAGCACGGGGGCAACCCUGGUGGCGAGUGGCGAACGGGUGAGUAAUACAUCGGAACGUGCCCAGUCGUGGGGGAUAACGUAGCGAAAGCUACGCUAAUACCGCAUACGAACUGAGGUUGAAAGCGGGGGAUCGCAAGACCUCGCGCGCUUGGAGCGGCCGAUGGCAGAUUAGGUAGUUGGUGGGGUAAAGGCCUACCAAGCCGACGAUCUGUAGCUGGUCUGAGAGGACGACCAGCCACACUGGGACUGAGACACGGCCCAGACUCCUACGGGAGGCAGCAGUGGGGAAUUUUGGACAAUGGGCGCAAGCCUGAUCCAGCCAUUCCGCGUGCAGGAUGAAGGCCCUCGGGUUGUAAACUGCUUUUGUACGGAACGAAACGGUGCUCUCUAAUACAGGGCGCUAAUGACGGUACCGUAAGAAUAAGCACCGGCUAACUACGUGCCAGCAGCCGCGGUAA
rnacentral:rRNA from 1 species